AGAGUUUGAUCCUGGCUCAGGAUGAACGCUGGCGGCGUGCCUAACACAUGCAAGUCGAACGGAGUUGUGCAUCGGAAGUUUUCGGAUGGAAGAUGCAAAACUUAGUGGCGGACGGGUGAGUAACGCGUGGGUAACCUGCCGUAUACAGGGGGAUAACAGUUGGAAACAACUGCUAAUACCGCAUAAGCGCACACUGUCGCAUGACAGAGUGUGAAAAUUUCCGGAGGUAUACGAUGGACCCGCGUCUGAUUAGCCAGUUGGCAGGGUAACGGCCUACCAAAGCAACGAUCAGUAGCCGGCCUGAGAGGGUGGACGGCCACAUUGGGUCUGAGACACGGCCCAAACUCCUGCGGGAGGCAGCAGUGGGGGAUAUUGCACAAUGGGGGAAACCCUGAUGCAGCGACGCCGCGUGAGUGAAGAAGCAUUUCGGUGUGUAAAGCUCUAUCAGCAGGGAAGAAGAAUGACGGUACCUGACUAAGAAGCCCCGGCUAACUACGUGCCAGCAGCCGCGGUAAUACGUAGGGGGCAAGCGUUAUCCGGAUUUACUGGGUGUAAAGGGAGCGUAGACGGCAAUGCAAGCCAGAUGUGAAAACCCGCAGCUCAACUGGGGGAGUGCAUUUGGAACUGUGUAGCUGGAGUGCAGGAGAGGUAAGCGGAAUUCCUGGUGUAGCGGUGAAAUGCGUAGAUAUCAGGAGGAACACCAGUGGCGAAGGCGGCUUACUGGACUGUAACUGACGUUGAGGCUCGAAAGCGUGGGGAGCAAACCAGGAUUAGAUACCCUGGUAGUCCACGCUGUAAACGAUGAAUACUAGGU
rnacentral:rRNA from 1 species